rnacentral:rRNA from 1 species
UACGGGGGGAGCAAGCGUUGUUCGGAUUUACUGGGCGUAAAGGGCGCGUAGGCGGUCAGCACAAGUCAGUUGUGAAAUCUCCGGGCUUAACUCGGAAAGGUCAACUGAUACUGUGCGACUAGAGUGCAGAAGGGGCAACUGGAAUUCUCGGUGUAGCGGUGAAAUGCGUAGAUAUCGAGAGGAACACCUGCGGCGAAGGCGGGUUGCUGGACUGACACUGACGCUGAGGCGCGAAAGCCAGGGGAGCGAACGGG